CCAAUGUGGGAAAGACAGUGACAGGUAAGGCUUGGGAGGACUGAACGCAUGGCUUCUAAUGCCGUAAAGCUGCUGACUCACUGGGAAACUUGGAAGGAGGCCUUCAACUCCAGGCCUCAGUUUCUCCACAGAUAAAAUGGGAGCGAGGAACUAGGCAAGUGAUUUUAAACAUCAUUUUAAACUAGAAAAAUGAUAGAACUUCCCCUUCCGCAUCCCUGCCACCACCAAAGACCGAAAAGGAGCUGCGGAAAUGACCUGCGGGGGCUGGAAGGGCCUUCCUGUUGACUUGAAGGAGGAGGCAAAACCCUGGCUGCAGUGCGAAGACUCCUGGUCUCCCUGUCUCUCCCCUGCCUGUCAACUGAAUCCCUUUAUCUUGAGUGGCCCUGGAGUCCCAGCAGCCCAGGGCAGAGGAAAUUCAGGAAUCCCCCAGGCACCAGCCUGACCCUGUCUUGCCAUAGCAGAGGAGACACCCACCAUCAGCUGACUGAAAACUCCCAGCCUGAGGGCUGACCUGGCCAUCUGCUAUGACAGAUAGCAACCCACCCAGGACCGGUCCAAACUUCAGACUCUGCUGACCCUAGGGUACCUAGCAGUGUCUAGCUAAGCCCACUGUAAUCUGUUUUACAGUAUUUUCCCACUGGCUGGUUUACCAAAUCUUCCCACUAGCCUGACGACCCGAGAAAAGCAGGGAUGAGCCUUCCCACCUUUCAGACUAGGAAAACUGAGGAUCAGAGGAGGACAGGGACAGAGUGGCCAAUCCAGCACUGGAUUCAGGAGCUCAGUAAAUAUUUACUGGACAAAAUGAGCUCACUGGCCCAGCCGUUGCCAAGCAGGUGCAGCAUGUGCCAGAGAAGCGCAGGAGGGACACGACAUGGGUGGGUGGGUGUGUAUGUGUGUGUGAGACACUCACCUGGGUGUGCAUGUGUGACAUACCUCUCCCUGGAGACCAAGUCACAUACAGGUCCGAGGUACCUAUAACAGGUCCCCUCCCCCCCAAUCCUGGCUCCAUUCUUGCUAUCCCUCCAGCCCAUUUCUAAUCCAGCCUCCUUCCCUCUCCGGGCUGGAUUAGAAUAGUCGGUUCUUAACAAGGAAAUGAAUUUGAAUCCAGGGGUGGGGGCAGGAUACUUUAAAAAAAUAUAUACAUUUUCAGAAUGCAAAAGAAGGCAAUUUGAAAAUAUCUAACAAAAUUUUAGCUGUACAGAUUCUUCAAGAUAGCAGUUCCACUUGCAGGACUGGCUCCCAGAGCUGUGCACACACACGCACAUGGACACGCGGGGAAGAGCACCUGCUGCAGUACUGCCCACAGCAGCAAGACUGGGAACACCCUGGACACCCCUGCGUAGAGGACUGGACACACAACCAGGGGUCCAUUGAUGACGGACUGCCACAUGGUCAUGGAAAAGCAGGCUGUGGACCUGUGUGUGUCCACAGGGAAGAGCCUACAACAAACAGACUUGUGUGAAGACGACAAGGCACAGAACAGCAGAUGGGGAAACUGAGGCUUGGAGAGGCCAAGGGUCUCACUCAAGGUCACAGAGCUUGAAGCUGGCAGAACAAGGCCCCAGAGGUCUUAGACAGCCAAACUCAAUACGCAAGGAUGGUCAGGUUAAGAACAACUUCUCUCUCCCCUCAUCCUGACUGAGAGUCUCAGCAAGACCAAGGCAGCACAGGCCCUGGUUCACCUGCCCAGUCUGGUGGCCUGCAAAGUUCUGGCCACACACCCGACGGCCCAGCUGCCUAGGAGCCGCACCCCCCUGCAAAAUUUCAUUACUCAAGUUGGCAAGAACGCAGCCCCCACCCCCAGCCUGAUCUAAAUAAACGCCCAAGUGAUAUCACA